CUUCGAUAUCAAUGUUAUCUAAUAAUCAUGAUUUUUUCUGAAAAAGAAAAAAUCAUGAUUAUUAGAUUACAUUGAUAUCGAAG